AUUGAACGCUGGCGGCAGGCCUAACACAUGCAAGUCGAACGGUAACAGGAAGCAGCUUGCUGCUUCGCUGACGAGUGGCGGACGGGUGAGUAAUGUCUGGGAAGCUGCCUGAUGGAGGGGGAUAACUACUGGAAACGGUAGCUAAUACCGCAUAAUGUCGCAAGACCAAAGAGGGGGACCUUCGGGCCUCUUGCCAUCGGAUGUGCCCAGAUGGGAUUAGCUUGUUGGUGGGGUAACGGCUCACCAAGGCGACGAUCCCUAGCUGGGCUGAGAGGAUGACCAGCCACACUGGAACUGAGACACGGUCCAGACUCCUACGGGAGGCAGCAGUGGGGAAUAUUGCACAAUGGGCGCAAGCCUGAUGCAGCCAUGCCGCGUGUAUGAAGAAGGCCUUCGGGUUGUAAAGUACUUUCAGCGGGGAGGAAGGGAGUAAAGUUAAUACCUUUGCUCAUUGACGUUACCCGCAGAAGAAGCACCGGCUAACUCCGUG
rnacentral:rRNA from 1 species